rnacentral:rRNA from 1 species
GCGAGUGAAGAGGGACAAGCUCAAAUUUUAAAUCUGUGUUUACACAGAAUUGUAAUUUGAAGAAACGUUUUCUGUGUCUUGAUUUAACUUAAAUCUUUUGGAAUGAGGUAUCAUGGAGGGUGACAAUCCCGUUCAUGGUUUUAUUCAAGAUAUCUUAUGAAACGUUUUCGAAGAGUCGAGUUGUUUGGGAUUGCAGCUCAAAAUGGGAGGUAAAUUUCUCCUAAGGCUAAAUAUUGGCGAGAGACCGAUAGCGAACAAGUACCGUGAGGGAAAGAUGAAAAGAACUUUGAAAAGAGAGUUAAACAGUACGUGAAAUUGUUGAAAGGGAAACGAUUGAAGUCAGUCAUACCAACGGGAAAUCAACCUUUUGAGUAUGAAUUUUUUGGAGCUUUAAAGAGUUUCAAAACCUUUGGGUUUCAUUAUUUGUGCUUUUUUGGCGUACUUUCUCGUACGGUAGGUUAACAUCGAUUUUGAACGUUAUAAAAUGACUGGAGGAAUGUAGCUUCGAUCUCGUAUUGAAGUGUUAUAGCCUUUAGUAAAUGUAAUGGUCAAGAUCGAGGAUUGCAACGAAUACCCUUUUGGGCUAUCCGUCUGAUCUCUGAUACGUGACCUUGGUAUUGAAAGCGUGCUUAUGAUAUUGAGGUAUUACGGUCAAAAGGUUAGAACGUGAUUACAUUCGUUAAGGAUGU